AUUCCGUAGGAUUAACAUCGUGCAACGUUAACCUUGUUCUUGAUUUAAGAAGAAACGUAUUCCUUCCAAUCAGAGAGCAGCUACGGCCCAAUGCUCGACGAAUCAGUACGCUCGGUGUCAGUCUAGUGCUGGAUCUCGUGGGGGUAGGACGUGUGGACUACAACGGAAAAUUUUCGGUUUACAUUUUCGUAUGUCGCACGACUUUGCGCCGAACAAAUCCCCUCUCCAAUUUAUAAUUUCGUAAACGAAGUCGUGACACGGAAUAUCAUUCUAUUAUCGAAAGUUGAACUAGUAGAACGCUUUGCUACAGAAAAUUUUUGUGACCGAGCGCAAUGCGGUCAAUAGAGUCAGUGUUUGUUUCGUGAUAAAGUAUUUUUUAUAUUUUUUAGAGCAAAGCUGCUCUAAUUCAAUUUAAUUUUAAUAAUUAUUCGCGAAAUUAGAAUCAGUGUUUGUUCGCCGAAUAUCAAUUACGAACGCGUCAAUAGUCUUUUAUUUUUUUUUGUUUUUCUCUCUAAAUUUUCGUUUUCGGUACAGGAUAAAGUCAGUGUUUCUCUCAAGAAUAUAAGGCGAUCAUCCGUCACGCGAAGAGGUAUUAUCGUAUUCCCUGGAUUUUUUAAAAAAAUUUUUGUGAUCGCGCGCAAUGCGAUCGAUAGAGUCAGUGCUUGUUUCGUAAUAAAGUAUAUUUAAUAUUUUUUAGAGCAUAAUUGCUCCUAUUCAAUUUAAUUGUAAUAAUCAUUCGCGAAAUUAGAGUCAGUGUUUGUUUUCCGAUUAUAAAUUAAACGUUAUGUUAAUACAUUUUAUUUUUAAUUUUUUUUUUCUCUAUAAAUUUUUAUUUUCGAUACAAAGUAGAAUCAGUGAGUGCUUCUUUCAAGAAAAUAAGGCGAUCAUCCAUCACGCGAAGAGUUUUCCUGCUCCUAUUUGAUGACAACUUCGCAAUGGGUCAUGGCAGCAUUGAUAACAACGCAGAUUCUUCGCAUCUAAUGGUGAGUCGCAUGCAUUUUGAUUCCUCUGGUCAUUCAAUCAUGUCAUAGGAUGAAAGAUCCGAACUGACACGGGUGACUAGUUGUAUACGUAGAAUUUUGUACGAAUACAGUGACCGCGGGUAUUUAUUAUACUCGUGAAUAGUAACAUUCCAUUUGUCUGUGUAUUAUUUAUUAGAUCAGGCUAGGUUUUCUUGCACAUCGCGUUUUUAACAAAACAGAAUAAUAUUAAUAAUUAACAUUAUAUAAGUAAAAUUUUAAGAUAAUAGUAAAAUUAAUAUACAAUAAUAAUCAUGAUGCAUAAUAACGUAAGUUGUUUAUUAUCACGUGAUGAUAAAUAACAUUUAAUUACAGUAUUUCUUCAUAAUGCAUCGAAAAAAUUAUUUAAUUAUUUGUUACAAACUUAAGUUUGAUUUAAAGUAUAAAAAUAUUUAAUUUUUCAUGCUUCUUUUUCUUAUAAAAAUGUAAUAAAAUAUAGGUGCAAGAAAGCAUUUCGCGACAGGUAGAUUUUUAAAUCAAAGCAAUAAGUUUUGAAUAUUAUUUUGAAUACUAUUUUCGAAAAACUGCUUUGAUAAAAAGAUCGCCUGAGGUUUUAUUAAUAUUAUUAUUUUCAUUAAUAUUUGAUUUAAUAUUUGAGUCAAUAAUUUUUAAUUAUCAUAAAUAAUUUUUUUAUUCAUUGUUUAUAUACAUAUAUAUUUUUUCUUUGUUUAAUUAAAGUUGAUAGUUGUAAAUUAAAUUUGUAAAGAUUUUUUAAAUUUUAAUUUGUAAAGAUUUAUUAAAAUUUGCAAUAAACAAAAAUAUUAAAGAAUAUUAGCCCGUUAGAUUGGAAACUAAUGCUUUUUUUAGCUCAGGAUUUUCAGAUUUAACCCCUUCCGUGUUCAUUGCCAGGAAUUCGUUCAAGUGCCCAGGUGCUACUUGAAUGAAGGAGAGGCAAUGAGCAUGAUGACUCUAGUUAAUAAGUUAAUAAAAAUUUUUCAGCGAUUGACGAUGUAUUAGUGUAUCGUGCACGACGUAUUUUUCGCAUUAUGUGUGUAUGGUUAGGCUGUGGAAUUGCGUCGUUAUUCAUAACAACUAUUUCAUUCACAAUUGUUAUUUACAUACAAUAAUAAUUUUGCAUUCGCUAAUAAGUACUGCGGAUUAUAAAUAAUUUAUUAGUUUAAUAUUAAAUUAUAAAAAUCGUAUCAAUGCCUAUAUCAUUUCUUUAAUAGUCAUACAUAUUAUUUAUUAAUGGUAGAUAAUUACAAUUAAAAUAUAUGCGUUUUUAUCGCAAUUUACGCAAUGGUCGCUAGACAUCGUCAAUUGAUUUCAGGAAAAUGGUACGUAAAGUUAGAGUAUGCGAGUAGUGUGUCAAGCUCGGGUGUCGGAGGCGUCCCGGGACGUUUUCCCUAGUGUAGGCAUUUGCGCCCGAGUAUUAUGUGUGAGAAUCGUGGAAUGAAUGUGUUGGUAUGCCUGUUUUGCCAUUUUUUAAAUAUAGGGCUAGGUAGGAUAGGUAAUAUACUUCUGGUGUGUCUGUUAAUUAUAAGUAGGUAGGGCCGGGCAGGUUGUCACAGUCUCUGAUCGGGUAGGCGCGUUUUCGCGUGACAACUUGUUUCAGGAAAUAAAAUUUGAAGAAUCGAAAGUAAAGCUGAGACGAAUGGAUUAUGCCAUUCGUUUCUGGUUCUGCUCGUCGAUUUUUCGAAUUCCGCGGUCGCGGUCGUGAAUUAUUUCGAAACGAACGUUGCGCUCGAGAUUUUGCAUAUGUACGGAGAAUGAUCAUUGUGAUCGUUGGUCGUUCAUGUGCACUUAGUUUCCGCGAUUUAGUCAUUUUUUUUUUUCUUUUUUUUCUUGGUUUGCGAUUAGUGAAUCUCGAGCCUAGAUUUAAGUUUCAGCGGGCAUUGCGCCCGAAGGAGGAAGACCGAAGAGGCCUCGACAAACUGUCACGAAGAGGGGCUGCAACGAAUGGUUUCUCAUUUUUUGGAUUUUCUUUUGAGUCUAAAGAAUGGGAAAUCAUUGUUACUAUUUUGUCACUGUAUUCGUUUUAGUAAUAUGUAGUAAUUGUUGUGUUGUCUGGCCAAUUUGCAUGCUGGCCCAUCAUCUACAUCCAGUCAUCAUGGGCAUCGCGAUUUUUUUUUAUUAGUGUUGCGAUUGAUUAAUAACGGGUUGAAUUAGAGUUGCGUUAAAAUGAGAACCGCGUUUGUAUUAGUGUUGCGUCAAAAUUAAAAUCACGUUUGCAUUAGCGUUGCGUUAAAAUGAAAAUCGCGUUUGCAUUAGUGUUUAAAAUGAAAAUUGCGUUUGUAUUAUUAUUGAACGAAAUAUAUUUAUAUAUCGCGAUUUUCUUUUAUAAAUUAUUAUGAUUUUUUGUAAAAUCAUAUUCAAAUUUAUAUUUGUUUGUUUCGAAUAAUAAGUAAUAGCUUUCUUGUUGUACAGAAAUAAUGAUUUUUAUUAAAUUUUUUUAAAAUGUAGUGUUGCGUUGAUAAACAAUCGCGUUUGAUCAAGUAGUGUUGCGAAUAUGGAAUGCCCAAAUUUCUUCCGCUGGAAUUGUGGAAGGAUUCUUGUUCCUGAAUCACCUUAAGUAGCUAAAAAAAAGCUGCAAGGGUGAUUAUAUGCUGGCAGUCAUUAAGAUUGAUUGCACUGGAUUUCUCGCUAUUAGUGUUGCGUUAUUUAAAUUUGAGUGCGUAGAGUAGUGUUGCGUAAAUUGUUUCCGGGAAUUGUUUUCCAUUUUUUUUUUAUUUUUUUUAUUAGUUGUAAAUUAAUAUAUUAUUGCAAAUAUUAAAAUUAAGGCACUCAUCGUGGUUGAUUUUAAAUUUUUUAUAAAAACAAACAUUAAUUUAUUAGUGUUGCGCUAUAAAAUGAAUGUUCCAUUCACGGUUUGUAUCGGGUUUAUAUCGAGUGGAAAAUAUUUUUAUUUCAGUAGUCCUUCUGACUACUAAAUUGUUUUUUUUUCAGCAUUUUUUUAUCGCAUUCUGCAGAAAAUAUCGCUAUGAUAUGUAAGUAUAUUUGUCUAUGUUACUAAUAAGUUUUUUCCAAAUUUUUUAAAAUUUGAAUCGAAUUUAAAUUUUCUUUACUAAAUUUUUUGAAAUUAAAAAAAUUAAAAUGAUAAAUGUUUACGAAAAUUUAUCUUGUUAUUAUUCCAAAUUAUAAUAUUUUAAAUUGUAAGUAAUUUUUUCUUUUUUUUUUCUUUUUUCUUUCUUGUAUUUUCAUUUUUUUUUUCUUUUUUUCUCUUUUUAUUUUUAAUCGCAUAUGCUUCAAGUACUAAUAUGCUUCAAGUAAAUUUGUUUCAGAUUCACUUGAGAAACAUCAGACUGAGUUUUCAAGAAAAUUUCUAUCAACAAU